UUGAUCUUCGAUGACCUUUUGGUGACACGUACGCUUUGAGGUGGGACAGGAGGGCCUGACAGGAGAGAGGACUGGUUAAACAAAGUUGCACUUGUGUCAGGAUGAUUUAUAAUGCAACACAAGCACAAAGAGGGAGGAAGAGAUGGACGUGAACUAAGGGGGAACAAAGAGAAGAAAGGAAAAGAUUCUAGCAGAGGAGAAAAGUUUCCAGAUUGUUUGGGGUUGUCACGAAAUCGAUCAAUGUAGAGCAGUGAAACAAACCACAGAGGCCCCAGAAAAGUGCAAUCAAACGGUGAGUUUAUUAAUACAGAACAAAAUUACAGCAUGAGUCUUCUCUAUCUCUCUGCUAAAAAUACAUGUGAAAAACACUUUUAAAGCAAUGGGGUAUCCGCCCCCCCAUGGCGUCAAAUACAGGUCAAAAAUAGAUUAUGUACAGUCAUUGUUUACAGACAAUGGUACAUCUUGUACAUUUUUAAUGGCUAGACACAGACAUAUAACUUCUCUUUUCCAUAACACCUUCCAUGCACAAUCAUAGUCUUAAGCCUUCAGAGUAUCUGAGGGCUGGUUAUCUCCUCCGGUCAUCUGUUACCAGGUCGCUAAAAGGGCAGCCGGUUACAAUAAGGUCAAAGACACUUGCCUUUUAAGGUAACCAACUUCAAGCUACAGGGUCUCUAAGAGCUAAUAAUGGACACUCGUCAUUAAUCACUAAGUAGACUAAAUUGCAGCAAGUCUCAAGAA